CAUCAGUCAGAUAUAUUUUUCACACCCAACAUUCGUAUGAAUAUCAUUAUAGUAUGCAAAUGCUUGUUUUGUCAUUGCGUUGUUUUUUGUUUAUUGCAGCCGCAAAAAGACAACGUUGGAGAAAUCUCUGUCAAUGAGCACAAUGGACCGACUAACAAAACAUUAUCAGAAGAGAUUGAGAAUGUUUCUCACAAGACAAUGUCUCCGCUGUCAAGGAAUGAACAACGACAACUGGCAAUUCAAGCCUGUGAUAAACAAAAUGAAGAUUCUACGGUAGCUAUGUCAUCUUUAUUUUCUUGGCACGGACUUAUGGAUGGCGUUCUUAUUUCAAAUGACUUCAUAAAUUUUUCAGCCAGAGG